UACAGAGGGUGCGAGCGUUAAUCGGAAUUACUGGGCGUAAAGCGCGCGUAGGCGGCUUUGCAAGUCGGGUGUGAAAUCCCCAGGCUUAACCUGGGAACUGCAUUCGAGACUGCAUUGCUAGAGUAUGGGAGAGGGAAGUGGAAUUCCUGGUGUAGCGGUGAAAUGCGCAGAUAUCGUAAGGAAGACCAGUGGCGAAGGCGGGUCUCUGGACAGUUCCUGACGCUGAGGCACGAAGGUCAGGGGAGCAAACGGG
rnacentral:rRNA from 1 species